GAUGAACGCUGGCGGCGUGCCUAAUACAUGCAAGUCGAGCGAACGGACGAGAAGCUUGCUUUUCUGAUGUUAGCGGCGGACGGGUGAGUAACACGUGGAUAACCUACCUAUAAGACUGGGAUAACUUCGGGAAACCGGAGCUAAUACCGGAUAAUAUUUUGAACCGCAUGGUUCAAAAGUGAAAGACGGUCUUGCUGUCACUUAUAGAUGGAUCCGAGCUGCAUUAGCUAGUUGGUAAGGUAACGGCUUACCAAGGCAACGAUGCAUAGCCGACCUGAGAGGGUGAUCGGCCACACUGGAACUGAGACACGGUCCAGACUCCUACGGGAGGCAGCAGUAGGGAAUCUUCCGCAAUGGGCGAGAGCCUGACGGAGCAACGCCGCGUGAGUGAUGAAGGUCUUCGGAUCGUAAAACUCUGUUAUUAGGGAAGAACAUAUGUGUAAGUAACUGUGCACAUCUUGACGGUACCUAAUCAGAAAGCCACGGCUAACUACGUG
rnacentral:rRNA from 1 species